AUUGAACGCUGGCGGCAUGCUUUACACAUGCAAGUCGAACGGUAACAGGCCGCAAGGUGCUGACGAGUGGCGAACGGGUGAGUAAUGCAUCGGAACGUGCCCAGUCGUGGGGGAUAACGCAGCGAAAGCUGCGCUAAUACCGCAUACGAUCUCUGGAUGAAAGCGGGGGACCGAAAGGCCUCGCGCGAUUGGAGCGGCCGAUGUCAGAUUAGGUAGUUGGUGGGGUAAAGGCCCACCAAGCCAACGAUCUGUAGCUGGUCUGAGAGGACGACCAGCCACGCUGGGACUGAGACACGGCCCAGACUCCUGCGGGAGGCGGCGGUGGGGAAUUUUGGACAAUGGGCGCAAGCCUGAUCCAGCAAUGCCGCGUGCAGGAAGAAGGCCUUCGGGUUGUAAACUGCUUUUGUACGGAACGAAACGGUCUGGGCUAAUACCCUGGGCUAAUGACGGUACCGUAAGAAUAAGCACCGGCUAACUACGUGCCAGCCGCCGCCGUAAUAC
rnacentral:rRNA from 1 species